rnacentral:lncRNA from 1 species
CUUGUUCCGCGGAGGGUGGGGCGGUCUCUGCUUGCGCAUGCGCAAUGCCAGCCAGUGCCUGCGCGGCUUGCUCCAGCAAGGUAAAAUUUCCCACUGCGAGGCAGGCAGUGAUGCUGCGGCCGCUUCGCACUGUGGCUCCUGCCGACCGCCAGGCGCUGUUACAGUGGAUGCGAACUAACCGUAAGUCAUUAUAUCGUACUGCAGAAACCAGCUCAACUAUGCAAAACUACCACCAGGACUGGCCGACACCAGGAGGGAUUCCAGAGACCACACUGCAGGGAGCAUACAGAAAGAAAAUUAAGAGAUCAGAUGCAGCAGCAGCCGGAACCCACAGUUCACCUUGGUGCAUUCCUUUAUGAUGAAGACUUAUUGAUUCAUUAUAUGAGAAAGGAAAAAUGAGCAGAAACUACUGUAUGAUGUGCAGCUCACACCAGACAGCAACUUUAGGGUUAUCUUUCCAGUUCAGCAGUGCAACUCUAUGGAGUAGAAUUGAAAGGAGACUUUUCGCCAAUUGCAGGAAAUGGUCAUAAAAAAAUACCUGCUCACUGACAGAAUAAAGCACAUGUGCCUCACUCUUCAUGGUAAAUGUUUUACUGAAGAAUAACAUACAGAAAAGUGGACAAGUCUUAACUGCACAGCUCAAUGAAUUUCCAUGAAGUAAAUAUACCCAUAUGAUAAUCCAGCUCAAGAAACAGAAAAUCACUACCACCCCAGAAGACUGCCUUAUACUACCAUCUUUUAAGAGUGAAUCACACAUGGGGUACUCCUUGUAUCUGGCCUCUUUCUUUUUUUCUUUCUUUUUAAUUAUUAUUUUUGUUUGAGAUGGAGUCUCAUUCUGUCACCCAGGCUAGA